GAGAUGGGAUUGAGGAGUGAGCUCUCAGCUAGGGGUAACCUUAAACUGUGAUUUGUGGCACAGUCGGACCACUGCUCUUAGAGCAGAGACCCCACAAGUAGCAGAUCUGGCGAGACUCCACUUCCUUUUCUGGAGGCAGGAAUCU